rnacentral:rRNA from 1 species
GCUUGUCUCAAAGAUUAAGCCAUGCAUGUCUAAGUACAAGCCUCAGUAAGGUGAAACCGCGAAUGGCUCAUUAAAUCACACCUAAUCUACUGGAAAGUUACUAGUUACUUGGAUAACUGAGGUAAUUCUUGAGCUAAUACAUGCGAAAAAUCUCGACUCACGGAGAGAUGCUUUUAUUAGAUCAAAACCAAACGGCUUCGGCCGUCUCAUUGGUGACUCUGAAUAACUUUGGGCUGAUCGUAUGGCCUUGUGCCGACGACGUUUCCUUCAAGUUUCUGCCCUAUCAGCUUUGGAUGGUAGGGUAUUGGCCUACCAUGGCUUUAACGGGUAACGGAGAAUUAGGGUUCGAUUCCGGAGAGGGAGCCUGAGAAAUGGCUACCACAUCCAAGGAAGGCAGCAGG